rnacentral:snRNA from 1 species
GCAUGGGUGAUUUGGAUAUAAUAUGUAUCAAUGCUGAUCACCUGGAUUACUUUGGCUGAUCUGGUUAGCCUGGAGGGUUUUUCUAUUCUUCCCUCACUGUUGCAUAUAUAUUCUUUCUGAAACCUUUCCUCUGUCACAGAGAAGAACAUUCUCUACUAGCAGAAGGCAGAAAGCAACAAAGCAAAAGUUCUCUGUUUUCAAAAAAGCUAAAAAUAGCAUUUUUGUUAACAAGUUACUCUUUAGCAAAACUACUGGAACAUGAAGAUAGAUGCAAGUUGGACAUUCAUCU